rnacentral:SRP_RNA from 1 species
CUUUCAGACCUAUGCAACGGUUUUUGUGGACAACGGGUCAGGAUGGGAACAUAGCAGCCCACCCACUCUUAUUGUGUGCCGUAGGUAUCUGGGAGGAG